AGAGUUUGAUCCUGGCUCAGAUUGAACGCUGGCGGCAUGCCUUACACAUGCAAGUCGAACGGUAGAGGGGCAACCCUCGAGAGUGGCGAGCGGGUGAGUAAUGCAUCGGAACGUGCCCAGUCGUGGGGGAUAACGCAGCGAAAGCUGUGCUAAUACCGCAUGUGAUCUGUGGAUGAAAGCAGGGGACUUGGUAGCAAUACUGGGCCUUGUGCGAUUGGAGCGGCCGAUGUCAGAUUAGCUAGUUGGUAGGGUAAAAGCCUACCAAGGCGACGAUCUGUAGCUGGUCUGAGAGGACGACCAGCCACACUGGGACUGAGACACGGCCCAGACUCCUACGGGAGGCAGCAGUGGGGAAUUUUGGACAAUGGGCGCAAGCCUGAUCCAGCAAUGCCGCGUGCAGGACGAAGGCCUUCGGGUUGUAAACUGCUUUUGUACGGAGCGAAACGGUCUGGGUUAANANCNUAGGCUAAUGACGGUACCGUAAGAAUAAGCACNNNNNNNNNNNGNGCCAGCAGCCGCGGUAAUNC
rnacentral:rRNA from 1 species